rnacentral:rRNA from 1 species
GAUGAACGCUGGCGGCGUGCCUAAUACAUGCAAGUCGAGCGAACGGACGAGAAGCUUGCUUCUCUGAUGUUAGCGGCGGACGGGUGAGUAACACGUGGAUAACCUACCUAUAAGACUGGGAUAACUUCUGGAAACCGGAGCUAAUACCGCAUAAUAAUUUUAACCGCAUGGUUCAAGAUUGAAAGACGGUCUUGCUGUCACUUAUAGAUAUAUCCGCUCUGCAUUAGCUAGUUGGUAAGGUAACGGUUUACCAGGGCAACGAUGCAUAGCCGACCUGAGAGGGGGACCGGCAAAACGGGACCUGAGACACGGCCAAGACUCCUACGGGAGGCAGAAGUAGGGAAUCUUAGGCAAUGGGGGAAAGCCUGACGGAGAAACGCCGGGUGAGGGAUGAAGGUCUUCGGAUCGUAAAAUUCUGUUAUUAGGGAAGAACAUAUGUGUAAGUAAAUGUGCACAUAUUGACGGUAACUAAUCAGAAAGCCACGGCUAACUACGUG